UACGAAGGGAGCUAGCGUUGUUCGGAAUCACUGGGCGUAAAGCGCACGUAUGCGGCUGUGUCAGUCAGGGGUGAAAUCCCGGAGCUCAACUUCGGAACUGCCUUUGAUACAGCACGUCUUGAGUCCGAUAGAGGUGGGUGGAAUUCCUAGUGUAGAGGUGAAAUUCGUAGAUAUUAGGAAGAACACCGGUGGCGAAGGCGGCCCACUGGAGCGGUACUGACGCUGAGGUGCGAAAGCGUGGGGAGCAAACAGG
rnacentral:rRNA from 1 species